rnacentral:rRNA from 1 species
AUUGAACGCUGGCGGCAGGCCUAACACAUGCAAGUCGAGCGAGCGGCGGACGGGUGAGUAAUGCCUAGGAAUCUGCAUGGUAGUGGGGGAUGACUACUGGAAACGGUAGCUAAUCCCGCAUACCAUCGGAUGUGCCCAGAUGGUAUUAGCUAGUAGGUGGGGUAACGGCUCACCUAGGCGACGAUCCCUAGCUGGUCUGAGAGGAUGACCAGCCACACGGGAACUGAGACACGGUCCAGACUCCUACGGGAGGCAGCAGUGGGGAAUAUUGCACAAUGGGCGCAAGCCUGAUGCAGCCAUGCCGCGUGUAGGAAGAAGGCCUUCGGGUUGUAAAGUACUUUCAGCGGGGAGGCGUUACCCGCAGAAGAAGCACCGGCUAACUCCGUGCCAGCAGCCGCGGUAAUUC